rnacentral:rRNA from 1 species
UGCCAGCCGCCGCGGUAAGACGGAGGGUGCAAACGUUGUUCGGAAUCACUGGGCAUAAAGAGCACGUAGGCGGCUAAGUCAGUCUGGUGUGAAAGCCCCCGGCUCAACCGGGGAAUUGCAUCGGAUACUGCUUGGCUUGAGGACGGUUGGGGUGAGUGGAACUCCUGGUGGAGCGGUGAAAUGCGUAGAUAUCAGGAGGAACACCAGUGGCGAAAGCGACUCACUGGGCCGUCUCUGACGCUGAGGUGCGAAAGCUAGGGUAGCGAACGGGAUUAGAUA